AGUUAAUUACGUAUUAUUAAUCAUUGCCUUUUCAAAGUAUGUUGAUUGGAAUUUUUGAGUAAUGAGUUGUGACUUUUUUGCAUUUGUUAUCUUUUGGGAGGACUAAUGCUAUUGACUAUCGGACUUGAUUGGAUGUACACCGCUAAUAGCGGUGCCUAGGGCCCAGGACUUGUUAAAAAUAUGUCGCCAAGUCUUUAAAUAUUGAGGUACGUAACGAUUGUUUUAAAUUUUGUAUAUUUGUGUUGAGUCGUAAUUAACUUGAACUUGAAGUUUCCCGGAUUCCAAUCAAUCUCAGAGUUAAUUAGGUAUAUUAGACACUGCCAUAUGUGUAAUUUGUCCUUUUGCAAAUUUUGUCUGAUUUGAACUUUUCAUUAAUAACUAUUGACUGUUUUUUCUAUCAUUUUGUGUUUGCGAGGAUUAUUGCUUUUGACUAUCGGGUAUGACUUCAAUCUUAAGUUAAUUAGGUAUUAUUAAUCAUUGCCUUUUCAAAGUAUGUUGAUUGGAAUUUUUGAGUAAUGAGUUGUGACUGUUUUGCAUUUGUUUUUCUUUUGUGAGGACUUAAUGCUAAUUGUCUAGUCAGCUUGCUUGGAUGUUCCUCCGCUAAAAUAACGGUGCCUAGAGGGCCCCAGGACUUUUUCAAAAACAAUAUCGCCAAGCCUUUAAAUAUUGAGGUACGUAACGAUUGUGUUAAAAUUUUGACUAUUUUUGUCUUCUUCGUAUUAACUUGAACUUCAGUUUUCCGGGUUCCCUUUCAAGCUCCAGUUUAAUUAUAGGUAUUUUGACAAUGCCAUAUGUUGUAGUUUGUCUAUUUUAAUUUUUCUGAUUGACGUUUAGUAAAUAACUAGUGACUGUUUCUAUUCUUUUGUUUUGCGAGGAUUAUUGCUAUUGACUAUCGAGUUUAACUUCAAUAUCAAGUUAAUUAGGUAUUAUUAGUCAAUACCUUUUCAAAGUAUACUGAUUGGAAUUUUUGAGUAAUGAGUAGUGACUAUUUUGCAAUUAUUUUCUCUUGUGAGGGGUAAUGCUAUUGACUAUCGGACUUGAUUGGAUGUAGCCCGCUAAUAACGGUGCCUAGGGCCCAGGACUUGUCAAAAACAUAUCGCCAAGCCUUUAGAUAUUGAGGUACGUAACGAUUGUUUUAAAUUUUGUAUAUUUAUCUUGGGAUCUUGGGCCGUAAUUACUUGACUUGAAACUUUUUUUUCGGGUUCAUUUCAGCUCACGUUAUUUAGGUAUUAUUGACAAUGCCAUAUUGUUGUUAGUUUGUCUUUUCAAUUUUUCUGAUUUGACUUUUCAGUAAUAACUAGUGACAGUUUUCUAUUCGUUUUCUUUUUCCAGGAUUAUUGCUAUUGACUAUGGGGUUUGACUUCAACCUCAACUUAAUUAGGUAUUAUUAGUCAAUGUCUUUUCAAAGCAUGCUGAUUGAAAUUUUUGAGUAUGAGUAGUGACUGUUUUGCAUUUGUUUUCUUUUCGAAGGACUAAUGCUAUUGUCUAUCGGACUUGAUUGGAUUUUCCUCUGCUAAUAGCGAUGCCUAGGGCCCAGGACUUGUCAAAAACAUAUCGCCAAGCCUUUAAAUAUUGAAGUACGUAACGAUUGUUUUAAAUUUUGUAAAUUUGUCUUCGACCGUAAUUAACUUGAACUUCAAGUUUUCCGGGUUCAAUUUCUAGCUCAAAUUAAUUAGGUAUUAUUUGACAAUGCCAUAUGUUGUAGUUUGUCUAUUUUAAAUUUUUAUGAUUUGAAGUUUAAAGUAAUAACUACUGACUGUUUUCUAUUUGUUUUGUUUUGCCGAGGAUUAUUGCUAUGGACUAUCGGUUUAACUUCAAUAUUCAAGUAAUAGGUAUCAUUAAUCAUUGCCUUUUCCAAAGUUGUUGAUCGGAAUGUUGAGUAUGAGUAGUAAAAUGUCUUGGAUUGGUUUCUUUGGGAGGAUAAUGUAUUGACUAUCGAUCUUGAUGAUGUACCCCGCUUAAUAGACGAUGCUAGGGACCCAGGACUUGUCAACAAACAUUCGCCAGCCUUGAAAUGUUCGAGGUAACGUAACGAUUGUUUUAAAUUUUGUAUAUUUGUCCUUGAGCCGUAAUGAACUUAAACUUGACAACUUUCCAGGGGGGUUUGGGUUUCAAUUUCAAGCUAAAGUACUUAGGUAUUAUUAGACAAUGCCAUGUGUUGUAGUUUGUUUGUUUCAAAUUUUUCUGAUUUGAAGUUUUGAGUAAUAACUAGUGACUGUUUUCUAUUCGUUUUGUUUUGCGAGGAUUAUUGCUUUUGACUAUCGGGUAUGACUUCAAUUUCAUGUUAGUUAGGUAUUAUUAAUCAUUGCCUUUUCAAAGUAUGUUGAUUGGAAUUUUUGAGUAAUGAGUUGUGACUGUUUUGCAUUUGUUUUCUUUUGUGAGGACUAAUGCUAUUGACUAUCGGACUUGAUUGGAUGUACCCCGCUAAUAGCGGUGCCUAGGGCCCAGGACUUGUUAAAAACAUAUCGCCAAGCCUUUAAAUAUUGUGGUAAGUAACGAUUGUUUUAAAUUUUGUAUAUUUAUCUUCUGCCGUAAUUAACUUGAACUUGAAGUUUAUCGGGUUCAAUUUUAAGCUCAAGUUAAUUAGGUAAUUAUUAGACAAUGCCAUAUGUUGUAGUUUGUCCUAUUUCCAAUUUUUCUGAUUUUGGAACUUUUCAUUUACUAGGACUUUUUUCUUUCGUUUUGUUUUGCGAGGAUUAUGCUAUUGACUAUUGGGGUUUGACUCAACGCUCAAGUUAAUUAGUAUUAGUAGUCAUGCCUUUUCAAAGCAUGCUGAUUGAAAUUGUUUUUGAGUAAUGAGUAGUGACUGUGUUUUGUUCAUUUGUUUUCUUUUGGGAAGGACGUAAUGGCUCUUGUCUAUCGUACUUGAUUGGAUUUUCCUCGCUAAUAGCGGUGGCCUAGGGCUCCAAGACUUGUUCAAAAACAUGUCGCCAAGUCCUUUAAUAUGGAGGUACUUAACGAUUGUUUUUAAAAUUUUGUAUAUUUGUUCUUCGACCUGUAAUUAAAAUUGAACUUGAAGUUUUCCGGGUUUCAUAUUUUCAAACUCAAGUUAAUUUGGGUAUUAUUAGACAUACCAUAUGUUUGUUAUGUUGUCUAUUUUAAAUUUUUCCUGAUUGGACCUUUUGAUUAAUAACUAAUGGACUGUGUUCUAUUCGUUUCGUUUUGGUUCGAAGAUUAUUGCGUGCUAUUGACUAAUUGGAUUUGACUUCAACCUCAAGUUAAUUUGGUAUUAUUAGUUAAUACCUUUUCAAAGAAUACUGAUUGGAAUUUUUGAGUAAUGAGUAGUGACUGUUUUGACUUUUGUUUUCAUGGGUAACAACAGGGGGAUUGAGGGGGGAGGGGGGGUACGGGGGGGCGGGCCCAGGGGGAAGGAGUGGGGACCUUUAGUUGAUCUUCUGGGCCCCUUUCCGUUUUCCUUUCAGGCGUCAUGGCUUCUCUAUUCUUGGAUGUACCCCGCUAAUAGCGGUGCCUAAGGCCCAGGACUUAUUAAAAACAUUCGCUAAGCCUUUAAUGUUGAGGUAUGUAACGAUUAUUUUAAAUUUUGUAUAUUUAUCUUGGUCCGUAAUUAACUUGAACUAUGAGUUUCCGGUUCAAUUCAAACUCAUUAGUAGGUAUUAUUAUACAAUGGCAUAUGUUGUUGUUUGUCUAUUUUAAAUUUCUCUAAUUUGAACUUCUAAUAACUAUGAUUGUUUUUCUAUCUUUCGUUUUUUUUUUGUGAGGAUUAUUGCUAUUAUCUAUCAGAGUUUUAACAAUCAAUCUCAAGUUAAUUAGGUAUUAUAAUCAAUUGCCUUUUCAAAGUAGCUGAUUGGAAUUUUGAGUAAUGAUUAGUGACUGUUUUUUGCAUUUGUUUUCUUUUGGGAGGAACUAACUGCUAUUGGUCCUAUCGUACUUGAUUGGAUUUUCCUCCGCUAAUUAGCGGUGCCUAGGGCACCCAACGACUUGUCAAAAACGAUGUCGUGCCGCACGCCCAAGCGCCAGCCUUUAAAAUAUUGAGGUACGUAACGAUUGUUUUAAAUUUUGUAUAUUUGCUUCGACCGUAAUUACUGAACUUGAGUUUUCGGGAUUCAAUUUCAAGCUCAAGUUAAUUAGGUAUUAUUAGACAACGCCAUAUGUUGUAUUUUGUCUAUUUUAAAUUUUUCUGAUUUGAAGUUUUGAGUAAUAACUAAUGACUGUUUUCUAUUCGUUUUGUUUUGCGAGGAUUAUUGCUUUUGACUAUCGGGUAUGACUUCAACCUCAAGUUAAUUAGGUAUUAUUAGUCAAUGCCUUUUCAAAGUAUGCUGAUUGAAAUUUUUGAGUAAUGAGUAGUGACUAUUUUGCAUUUAUUUUCUUUUGGGAAGACUAAUGCUAUUGACUAUCGGACUUGAUUGGAUGUACCCCGCUAAUAGCGAUGCCUAGGGCCCAGGACUUGUCAAAAACAUAUCGCCAAGCCUUUAAAUAUUGAGGUACGUAACGAUUGUUUUAAAUUUUGUAUAUUUGUCUUGGGCCGUAAUUAACUUGAACUUGAAGUUUUUCGGGUUCAAUU
rnacentral:lncRNA from 1 species